rfam:Gossypium raimondii chromosome 4, whole genome shotgun sequence.
ACAAUGGCUUUUUUAAUAGCCAUAAUCAUAUAAAAAAUAAAGGUA